GAGACAGCAGUAGCCGCGGUAAUACGGAGGGUGCAAGCGUUAAUCGGAAUUACUGGGCGUAAAGCGCACGCAGGCGGUCUGACAAGUCAGAUGUGAAAUCCCCGGGCUUAACCUGGGAACUGCAUUUGAAACUGUCAGGCUGGAGUCUUGUAGAGGGGGGUGGAAUUCCAGGUGUAGCGGUGAAAUGCGUAGAGAUCUGGAGGAAUACCGGUGGCGAAGGCGGCCCCCUGGACAAAGACUGACGCUCAGGUGCGAAAGCGUGGGGAGCAAACAGGAUUAGAUACCCCGGUAGUCCCUGUCUCUUAUAC
rnacentral:rRNA from 1 species